rnacentral:tRNA from 1 species
AACUAUAUAGUCUAAAUAGGAUUUUAAAUUGCAAAUUUAAAGGUAAUAAAAAUUUAUAGUUU